rnacentral:rRNA from 1 species
UACGUAGGGUGCGAGCGUUAAUCGGAAUUACUGGGCGUAAAGCGUGCGCAGGCGGUUCUCCAAGUCCGUUGUGAAAGCCCCGGGCUCAACCUGGGAAUGGCAGUGGAAACUAGGGGACUUGAAUCUGGCAGAGGGGGGUGGAAUUCCACGGUGUAGCAGUGAAAUGCGUAGAGAAUGUGGAGGAACACCGGUGGCGAAGGCGGGUCGAUCUGGGCGAGUGAACUGACGCUGAGGAGCGAAAGCGUGGGGAGCGAACAGG